rnacentral:lncRNA from 1 species
UAGAUUGGGAGAUUACUGUUGAUAAGUAAUCCAAUAUUUUUGAUAAGUUUAGAUUUAUUUCUGUCAAGUUUAUCUUUUAAUAUUUUGUUGGUUAGACAUAUAAGAGAUAAGUUUAAAUCUGGUUCAAUUAUUGUUUUUAGGAUUUUGAUUUAUGCCUAUAUAUAAACGGCUGUAAAUGUGUGGAAAAUCAUCCACCAUCAAAAUUUAGGCCAAGAAUAUUUUAUAAAGAUUUAGUUUUAUACUCCUCUCUUCUUUCAACAAGUGGUAUCAGAGCCAAGUUAAAGAAGCCUUAC